AGAACGAACGCUGGCGGCGCGUUUAAGCAUGCAAGUCGAGCGGCAAGGGCCUUCGGGCCCCUAGAGCGGCGGACGGGUGAGUAACACGUGGACAAUCUGCCCCCCGGCCCGGGAUAGCCCAGGGAAACCUGGAUUAAUACCGGAUGAGACGGGACCCGCGAUGGCGGGAUCCGGGAAAGGCGCUGCGGCGCCGCCGGGGGAUGAGUCUGCGUCCCAUUAGCUAGACGGCGGGGUAACGGCCCACCGUGGCGACGAUGGGUAGCCGGCCUGAGAGGGUGGACGGCCACAUUGGAACUGAGACACGGUCCAGACUCCUACGGGAGGCAGCAGCUAAGAAUCUUCCGCAAUGGGCGAAAGCCUGACGGAAGCGACGCCGCGUGAACGAAGAAGGCCGUGAGGUUGUAAAGUUCUUUUCGGGAGGGGAACAACCGUGGCAGGGAAUGGCCGCGGGAUGACGUGAAUCCCGGAAUAAGCCCCGGCUAACUACGUGCCAGCCGCGGC
rnacentral:rRNA from 1 species